GGGGCAGUAAGGCGUGGGUAACCUACCCUGGGGACCGGGAUAGCCGGCCUAACGGUCGGGUAAUACCGGGCGACGUAGCGGAGGGGCAUCUCUCGGCUACCAAACGAAUUUCGCCCUGGGAGGGGCCCACGUGGUAUUAGCUUGUUGGUGGGGUAACGGCCUACCAAGGCAAAGAUGCCUAGCGGGUGUGAGAGCACGACCCGCGCCACUGGCACUGAGACACUGGCCAGACUCCUACGGGAGGCUGCAGUCGAGGAUCUUCGGCAAUGGGCGCAAGCCUGACCGAGCGACGCCGCGUGCGCGAUGAAGGCCUUCGGGUUGUAAAGCGCUGUCGAGGGAGAGUAAGCCGCAAGGUUGAACGAUCCCUGGAGGAAGCACGGGCUAAGUUCGUGCCAGCAGCCGCGGUAAGACGAACCGUGCGAACGUUGUUCGGAAUCACUGGGCUUAAAGGGCGCGUAGGCGGGCAGCCAAGUCGGGGGUGAAAUACCUCAGCUCAACUGGGGAAUUGCCUUCGAUACUGGCUGUCUCGAGGGAGGUAGGGGCACGCGGAACUUCCGGUGGAGCGGUGAAAUGCGUUGAGAUCGGAAGGAACGCCGGCGGCGAAAGCGGUGCACUGGACCUUUUCUGACGCUGAGGCGCGAAAGCCAGGGGAGCGAACGGGAUUAGAUACCCCGGUAGUCCUGGCCAUAAACGAUGGGGACUAGAGAGUAGAUGCUCCGAUGUGUUUACUCUCGAAGCAAAAGUGCUAAGUCCCCCACCUGGGGAGUAUGGUCGCAAGGCUGAAACUCAAAGGAAUUGACGGGGGCUCACACAAGCGGUGGAGCAUGUGGCUCAAUUCGAGGCUACGCGAAGAACCUUAUCCUAGGCUUGACAUGCACGGAUGGCGCCGGUGAAAGUCGGUUGCCUGCCUUCGGGUGAAACGUGCACAGCUGCUGCAUGGCUGUCGUCAGCUCGUGUCGUGAGAUGUCGGGUUAAGUUCCUUAACGAGCGAAACCCCUGUCCUUAGUUGCCAGCGCGUUAUGGCGGGGACUCUAAGGAGACCGCCGGUGUUAAACCGGAGGAAGGCGGGGAUGACGUCAAGUCCUCAUGGCGCUUAUGCCUAGGGCUGCACACGUGCUACAAUCGGGCGGACAAAGGGAAGCAAGACCGCGAGGUGGAGCAAAUCCCAAAAACCGUCCGUCAGUUCAGAUUGCAGGCUGCAAUUCGCCUGCAUGAAGCUGGAAUCGCUAGUAAUCGCAGAUCAGCUACGCUGCGGUGAAU
rnacentral:rRNA from 1 species